rnacentral:tRNA from 1 species
AGGGUUGUAGUUUAGUGGUAAAACACUUGCCUAGCAUGUGUAAGGCCCUGGGUUCCAUCCCCAGCACCACAU